UGUAUCGGAACGUGCCCAGUCGUGGGGGAUAACGUAGUGAAAAUUACGCUAAUACCGCAUACGAUCUAUGGAUGAAAGCGGGGGAUCGCAAGACCUCGCGCGAUUGGAGCGGCCGAUAUCAGAUUAGGUAGUUGGUGGGGUAAAGGCCCACCAAGCCAACGAUCUGUAGCUGGUCUGAGAGGACGACCAGCCACACUGGAACUGAGACACGGUCCAGACUCCUACGGGAGGCAGCAGUGGGGAAUUUUGGACAAUGGGCGCAAGCUUGAUCCAGCCAUUCCGCGUGCAGGAUGAAGGCCCUCGGGUUGUAAACUGCUUUUGUACAGAACGAAAAGGUUUCUACUAAUACUAGGAGCUCAUGACGGUACUGUAAGAAUAAGCACCGGCUAACUACGUGCCAGCAGCCGCGGUAAUACGUAGGGUGCAAGCGUUAAUCGGAAUUACUGGGCGUAAAGCGUGCGCAGGCGGUUAUAUAAGUCAGAUGUGAAAUCCCCGGGCUCAACCUGGGAACUGCAUUUGAGACUGUAUAGCUAGAGUACGGCAGAGGGGGAUGGAAUUCCGCGUGUAGCAGUGAAAUGCGUAGAUAUGCGGAGGAACACCGAUGGCGAAGGCAAUCCCCUGGGCCUGUACUGACGCUCAUGCACGAAAGCGUGGGGAGCAAACAGGAUUAGAUACCCUGGUAGUCCACGCCCUAAACGAUGUCAACUGGUUGUUGGGUCUUAACUGACUCAGUAACGAAGCUAACGCGUGAA
rnacentral:rRNA from 1 species